UUCACCGAAUUUUAAGGUUUUUCAAUUUGUGAAGUGAUUUUGAUAACGUUGCAGUGUACGUCGUCUUAAAUAAGAGAGGAGGCGCCAAAAAGAACUGGGACGGCAUCGAUGGCAACGACCAUGUUCAAGUUCCAACCUACUGUGACUCCCAAGGUGGAUGAGAUUGCAGCUUGGAGGAGAAUCGGUCGCAAUGUACAUGUGGUUGCUGGUAUUAAAGGCAUCAACUCUUUCUAUUCCGCUAAGACACAGGCUUCAUUUUCAAGACACCACUUUGGCAGAAAAGUUUUGGUCAAAUUUUCCUCUAUGACACCAGUUUCACCUGAGGAAUUGACAGCAAAUGCUGAUACAGAUGAACCAGAUGUAAUUAAGAUGAAGAUAUGUGUAUCUGGUGAAAAAACGCAACAAUAUUUUGACAAGGUUUUCUCCCAGCUUGUUGAUGCUGCACAACCCAUUCCAGGCUUUCGAAGGGUAAAAGGAGGAAAAACUCCCGAUAUUCCCAAAGACAUACUUCUGCAUAUUCUUGGGCCAUCAAAAGUAAACAGUCAUGUCAUACGGGAAAUCAUUGGUUCAGCUGUAGCUGAAUGUGUGGAGAAGGAGGUUACCAAAUAUAAUUCACAUGUUCUUACCUUUCCCAGUAACUCCAUAAAACUCCAAGCAUUACCUCUCAUGAGUACUACAGAGUGAAUAGACAAAGAUUGUCCCUAAUGGUGGAACAUGCUCAGACACCAGAUGAACAUAUGGAACUCAUUUUCCUUUCUUUUCUGCUGAAGUUGCAUCAUGACCAUCAAGGAAGGAUUGAAUGUUGAAAAGGAUUUAAGAGUUGAUGAGACCUUUGAAGAGCUUGAGGCACAAUUUGUACCUGGAAAUGCAUUGGAGUUCAGUGUCUCCCUUACAAUUAAGGAGAAUAUGUAAACCACACUUAGAACUCUUGCAAAAUUUUGCUCAGGGUUUCCAUUAAUAGAAAACAUAAACCUUUUCAAGUUUUCAAA